GGACGAACGCUGGCGGCGUGCUUAACACAUGCAAGUCGAACGGAAAGGCCCUGCUUUUGUGGGGUGCUCGAGUGGCGAACGGGUGAGUAACACGUGAGUAACCUGCCCUUGACUUUGGGAUAACUUCAGGAAACUGGGGCUAAUACCGGAUAGGAGCUCCUGCUGCAUGGUGGGGGUUGGAAAGUUUCGGCGGGUGGGGAUGGACUCGCGGCUUAUCGGCUUGUUGGUGGGGUAGUGGCUUACCAAGGCUUUGACGGGUAGCCGGCCGGAGAGGGUGACCAGCCACAAUGGGACUGAGAUACGGCGCAGACUCCAACGGGAGGCAGCAGUGGGGAAUAUUGCCCAAUGGGCGGAAGCGUGAUGCAGCAACGCCGCGUGCGGGAUGACGGCCUUCGGGUUGUAAACCGCUUUCGCCUGUGACGAAGCGUGAGUGACGGUAAUGGGUAAAGAAGCACCGGCUAACUACGUG
rnacentral:rRNA from 1 species